ensembl:lncRNA
CUGGCACACUGGCGUGGCUGGGCACCUCCUGAGGUUAUGAACACGGACUAUGGAGCAGGGAGAAGGCUCAGAGGAAAAAAGAUCAUAAGUCUGGUUUUGUCUGUUGGGGCAUUUCCAGUGAGGCUUAACUGAGGACAAAACCCCACCAUGAAUUUGCUUGCAGGUGAGGCAGAUGUUGCUGACAGCUGCAAAGUCUUAGUAGGAACAGAUUCUGUAAGAAACUGCAUCCUAAGCCUUCUGAGAAGAUAAACAACAGGAUCUGGGUAAACAGCCCUUACAUAUAUAUGAGGAUGGAAGUUCAAGCCCCAGGAGCCAUGCAAAAUGCCAGUUCUGAAAUGCAGCUCUGCCUGAUUUCAUCAAACACACAAAUUGGGUCAUGAAGAGGAACCACAGGGUAUUAUGCCUGGAUGAUUUCAGAUUCCUCAUUAAUGGGAUUGGAGGAUGACUGUAGCCUAAAUAUCAAGUUUGUAUGAGGAAAAGGCUAAUGGGACCAAACUGCUAAUUCAGGACCAAGAGCAUGGAGUGCCAAUGACAACAUGUCAAGGUGGCCUGCUGAAGGGGCUUUUGGAAGCAGGCAGGCCUGGACUUAAAU